rnacentral:misc_RNA from 1 species
GGUUAUCGCUAGCAUUUUGGCGGCCCCCCCUCCUGCCUUGACCCUUUAAAAUCUAUGUUAUAGAUUUCCAAUUUAACAUCAUAGGCAGUAGGACUAGGAGCCCCCCAAAGACUAAUGUCAAUAACAGUCUUAACUCUCUUAUUAGUCAUAAGCAUACAAAGAAUAACAACUUAUGAUCCACAAGCAAAGUGAUGUUAUCAUUUCCAAAGAAGUGAAAGAUAAACAAGACUAAGGACAAUCCAAAUUUCAUAUAUUUCUUUCUUUUUAGCCAACAGAUAAUUCAACAUUGAUUUCUCAAAGAAUAUAACCAACAAGACUACCACAACCCAACUUUUCCCUGCUGGAGCCAAGGACCAGUGGCAAUGUACAUGUCCUUCACUAAAUGUAGCCUAUGCUAAGUCAUGCAAGUGUUAUUUUCUGAAUUGCUCACAAUGCAAGACAAAUCCAGAACAACAAAACCACAAUCAAAGACCAUUACUAAAAACAUGUAAGCAGCAAAGUUGCCUUAAACUCCAAUAAAAAGACCUGUUGGACCGUAAAUUACCUUGAUAAUUCGAAGCACACGCGA